rnacentral:rRNA from 1 species
UACGGAAGGCAGCAGUGGGGAAUAUUGCACAAUGGGCGAAAGCCUGAUGCAGCUAUGCCGCGUGUAUGAAGAAGGCCUUAGGGUUGUAAAGUACUUUCAUCGGGGAGGAAAAAACAAAACUAAUAAUUUUAUUUCUUGACGUUACCCGAAAAAGAAGCACCGGCUAACUCCGUGCCAGCAGCCGCGGUAAUACGGAAGGUGCUAGCGUUAAUCAGAAUUACUGGGCGUAAAGAGCACGUAGGUGGUUUUUUUAAAGUCAGAUGUGAAAUCCCUGGGCUUAACCUAGGAACUGCAUUUUGAAACUGAAAUACUAGAGUAUCGUAGAGGGAGGUAGAAUUCUAGGUGUAGCGGUGAAAUGCGUAGAUAUCUGGAGGAAUACCUGUGGCGAAAGCGGCCUCCUAAACGAAUACUGACACUGAGGUGCGAAAGCGUGGGGAGCAAACAGGGAUUAGAUACC